AGCGAACGUAUCACUUAAAGCGAUUCAGCGGGUUUCGAUUGACUGAGCGAAGCGACGUCAAGGCGUAUACUAAGUCGAGUCGGUUUAAGGAUUCGGAAGUUGGGUAGGGGAGCGUUCUGUAAGCCUGCGAAGGUGGACUGUGAAGGUUGCUGGAGGUAUCAGAAGUGCGAAUGCUGACAUAAGUAACGAUAAAGCGGGUGAAAAGCCCGCUCGCCGGAAGACCAA
rnacentral:rRNA from 1 species